CUCAUGCCCAGGGCCUUAUCUUCACCCGAACAAUAAAGCAACUUAAUGCACGCGGUGUCUUUAUUGGAAAGAAAGGAGAGGCAGAAAGGAGCUAGGACAUCCUUGAGGGCUCCCAGGACUGCCUGCUGUGCUGAAGGUAUAAGAGCCACCUGCCACCUGCCACCAUUACCUGCUUUACAUCUCUUCUCACUGGACAAGCCACCAGCCCAGCCUCUCAAGAUGGCCUAUAUCCCUGCACCUGGCUACCAGCCCACUUACAAUCCGACUCUGCCCUACAACAAGCCCAUCCCGGGUGGUCUCAGUGUGGGAAUGUCUGUGUACAUCCAAGGAGUGGCCAGCGAGCACAUGAAGAGGUUCUCCGUGAACUUCGUGGCGGGGCAGUACGCGGGAGCGGACAUUGCCUUGCACUUCAAUCCCCGCUUUGAUGGCUGGGACAAGGUGGUCUUCAACUCGCAACAGGGCGGCAAGUGGGGCAGCGAGGAGAAGAAGCGGAGCAUGCCCUUCCGCAAGGGCGCGGCCUUCGAGCUGGUGUUCAUGGUCCUGGCGGAGCACUACAAGGUGGUGGUAAAUGGAAAUCCCUUCUACGAGUUCGGGCAUCGGCUGCCCCUACAGAUGGUCACUCACCUGCAAGUGGAUGGGGACCUGGAGCUUCAAUCAAUCAACUUCAUUGGUGGCAACCCGCCCCCAGGCCAGAUACCCAUGGGAACUCCAGCAUACCCAGGUCCUGGACACACCCACCAACAGCCAAGUCAGCUGCCUACCAUGGAGGGACCCCCAGUCUUCAACCCGCCUGUGCCAUUUAGGAAGAGAUUGCAAGGAGGUCUUACAGCGCGAAGAACCGUCAUAAUCAAGGGCUCCAUACCCCCCAUGGGCAAGAGCUUUGUCAUCAACUUCAUGGUGGGAUCCUCAGGGGACCUGGCUCUGCACAUUAACCCUCGUCUGACUGAGGGUCUCGUAAUUCGGAACAGCUAUCUGAAUGGUUCAUGGGGAUCCGAGGACAGGAAGAUCUCCUACAACCCAUUUGGUCCUGGGCAAUUCUUUGAUAUCCAAGAAGCUCAAUGAACUGCAAGUAGGAUAAACACAAAGAGAGCCACACCUAGACCCAUCAUAGACAAACUGCUGGAAUAAAAUAAAAGACAGAGAAGGCUUUGAAAGCAGGAAGUGAAAACAGCGCAUCAUGUAGAGGGGAACAGCAGUACAAUUAACAGCUAACUUUUUGUAGAAACAGUGAAGAUCAGAAAGCUGUUGAACGAUUCAGUCAAAGUGCUGCUAAGAGAAAAAUAAAACUGUCAACAAAUAAUUCUAUAUUCAACAAAACUGUAUUUCAAAACAAAAGCAAAAUAAAGACAUUCCCAGAUGAACAAAAGCUGAGAAUUCAUUGCUACCAGAGCUGCUGUCUAGGGAAUGCUAAAGGAAGUCCUUCACGAUGAAAGAAACUGACCUCAAGCAGAAACUCAAAUCCACAGGAAGAAAUAAAGAGCUCCAGGAAUUAUAAGACAGAAGAGUAUAGCUCAGGAAAUAGGAAGAGUAUUGAGAAGUGAACACAUUCAGUACUUAUUUGGAAAUGAAAAAAAUGCUCCAGAAAAUAUUCCAGAACUGCUAUGAAGAAUCUCAACACGGGAGAAUAAGGAGCCUUCAAGGUUGCGCAUCUCUGAGCUCUGAGAAAUGAGCCGGCGACCACAGUGAUAACAGAUCGAAUGCAAACACUGGGCCAAACACCAGAGUCGAGUUGGGACUUGCAGGCUGGCGGUGUGUGAAGAAAUACCCAGCCACAAGGAAGAGCUCCGGAGAAGGAUGAGUCGCUGGCAGCCAUAGAACCAGACAGGGAGGCCGAGAGAGUGGACACCCUGCUCUGGGAGUAGCGGACCCAUCAUUCUGGGACCCGUUCAGAGGCUGGUGCUCCAGCCUCAGGCCCCCUGUCCCCUCUGAUGGAAGUCCUGAUGCCCAGCCCUGGGCCACCCCCGGGCCCCUGCCUAGCCCCGGGCGGCUGCCCUGCUAUGUGGCCUUGACUGAGAGGCUGCCCCUUUCCAGACCUCAGUGUUCUCCUCUGCAAAAUGGGGGUGCUUCAGCCAACACCCCCCCAGGCCAAAUGCAACUGCCCAGCCUCCCUCUCGGAGGCCCUAGCUCCCAAACUGCGCCCCCACCUAGGUGCCUCGUGUGGUGGGGAGAUGGAGAGUCUGGGAGGCCUGGGGGACAGUCCGGUGGUGGAUCAGGUUCUGAGUCUGGGUGUCUUCACCCAAAGGUUCCAUUCUCUUCUCUGCCCCAGGCCUCUUCCCCCUGAGGGGUGGGGCAGGAGUGGGCGCUGGGAGUGGGGUGGUGCAGGUGGGGAGGAGGGCUGCUGGGCUGCUAGGAGGGGUUUCUGCUCAGCUGCCUCACCCUGCCUCUUCCCUGCCUUCCAGAACCAUCUUUCAGCAUUCUCCCUCUGCUCCCCCGCUUUCCUAUCUUGGAUUCCUCUUCUGGAGUCUUGGGCUAUGGGGGUUGGCAAUGAGCCUGGGUGGAGGAGGGCCCCACGGUGCUCUCCUCCACCUGGGUCUGGGUGUGGGUGGGUCCUAGGACACCCCUCCCCCACCCUCCCUACACCUGAGAGCUAGCUGGGAGAGUGAAAGCAGUUCGG